AGCUAAGGCCCCUAAUUCAUGGCUAAGUGGGAAAGCAUGUGGGACGACCAAAACAACCAGGAGGUUGGCUUAGAAGCAGCCAUCCUUUAAAGAAAGCGUAAUAGCUCACUAGUCGAGUCGGCCUGCGCGGAAGAUGUAACGGGGCUCAAACCAUACACCGAAGCUACGGGUAUCACGUAAGUGAUGCGGUAGAGGAGCGUUCUGUAAGCCUGUGAAGGGUGACCCGCGAGGGCACUUGGAGGUAUCAGAAGUGAGAAUGCUGACAUGAGUAGCGAUAAAGAGUGUGAGAAACACUCUCGCCGAAAUCCCAAGGGUUCCUGCGCAAGGCUAAUCCGCGCAGGGUGAGCCGGCCCCUAAGCCGAGGGCGAAAGCCGUAGGCGAUGGGAACCAGGUGAAUAUUCCUGGGCCAGACGGUGGUGACGAAUAGUGGAAGCUGUACGGGCUUAACGGAUUGUCCGUGCAGUAAAGCUGUUCCAGGAAAUAACCCCGUCGUGAGACCGUACCCGAAACCGACACAGGUGGGAUGGUAGAGCAUACCAAGGCGCUUGAGAGAACUAUG
rnacentral:rRNA from 1 species